CUACAGCUCCCAGCGUGAGCCACGCAGAAGACGGAUGAUUUCUGCAUUUCCAUCUGAGGCUGGAGUGCAAUGGCUCAAUCUCGGCUCACCGCAACCUCUGCCUCCUGGGUUCAAGCGAUUCUUCUGCCUCAGCCUCCCGAGUAGCUGGGAUUAUAGGCAUGUGCCACCAUGCCCGGCUAAUUUUGUAUUUUCAGUAGAGAUGGUGUUUCUCCAUGUUGGCCAGGCUGGUCUCGAACUGAACUCCCGACCUCAAGUUAUCUGCCCUCCUCAGCCUCCCAAAGUGCUGGGAUUACAGGAUGUCAAUGUGCAGGAGAACUUGCAAGAGGAAGUGGCUAACAGAGACAGGAGUCAGCUGGGUCAGAGAAUAGAAGGUGGGACUGGAGGUGCAUUCUGCUGAGAGGUGCUCAAGUGAGGAAAGCUGACAAGAACUAGGUGAGCCUGGACUAAAAAGAAUCCUGUAGGGUGGAGCCAAGGUGGCCGAAUAAGAACAGCUCCGGUCUACAGCUCCCAGGGUGAGCGACACAGAAGGCGGGAGAUUUCUGCAUUUCCAUCUGAGGUACUGGGUUCAUCUCACUAGGGAGUGCCAGACAGUGGGCACAGGACAGUGGGUGCAGCACACCAUGCGUGAGCCAAAGCAGGGCAAGGCAUUGCCUCACUCGGGAAGUGCAAGGGGUCAGGGAGUUCCCUUUCCUAGUCAAAGAAAGGGGUGACAGAGGGCACCUGGAAAAUCGGGUCACUCCCACCCCAAUACUGUGCUUUUCCUAUGGGCUUAAAAAACAGCACACCAGGAGAUUAUAUCCCGCACCUGGCUCGGAGGGUCCUACGCCCACGGAGUCUCGCUGAUUGCUAGCACAGCACUCUGAGAUCAAACUGCAAGGUGGCAGCAAGGCUGUGGGAGGGGCGCCCGCCAUUGCCCAGGCUUGCUUAGGUAAACAAAGCAGCCAGGAAGCUCUAACUGGGUGGAGCCCACCACAGCUCAAGGAGACCUGCCUGUCUCUGUAGGCUCCACCUCUGGGGGCAGGGCACAGACAAACAAAAAGACAGCAGUAACCUCUGCAGACUUAAAUGUCCCUGUCUGACAGCUUUGAAGAGAGCAGUGGUUCUCGCAGCACGCAGCUGGAGAUCUGAGAACAGGCAGACUGCCUCCUCAAGUGGGUCCCUGACCUGUGACCCCCAAGCAGCCU
ensembl:lncRNA LINC02108 long intergenic non-protein coding RNA 2108